rnacentral:rRNA from 1 species
GGUGAGUAACGCGUGAGAAUCUGCCCAUUUGUGGGGGAUAACUCGGGGAAACUCGAGCUAAUACCGCAUAAUCCCUACGGGGGAAAGCAGGGGACCUUCGGGCCUUGUGCAGAUGGAUGAGCUCGCGUCGGAUUAGCUUGUUGGUGAGGUAAAGGCUCACCAAGGCGACGAUCCGUAGCUGGUCUGAGAGGAUGAUCAGCCACACCGGGACUGAGACACGGCCCGGACUCCUACGGGAGGCAGCAGUGGGGAAUCUUGGACAAUGGGGGCAACCCUGAUCCAGCCAUGCCGCGUGUGUGAAGAAGGCCUUCGGGUUGUAAAGCACUUUCAGUAGGGAGGAAGGCUUACCGCUAAUAACGGUGAGUACUUGACGUUACCUACAGAAGAAGCACCGGCUAAUUUCGUGCCAGCAGCCGCGGUAAUACGAAAGGUGCGAGCGUUAAUCGGAAUUACUGGGCGUAAAGCGCGCGUAGGCGGUUUGUUAAGUCAGAUGUGAAAGCCCCGGGCUCAACCUGGGAAUUGCAUUUGAAACUGGCAGGCUAGAGUGCAGUAGAGGGAGGUGGAAUUUCCGGUGUAGCGGUGAAAUGCGUAGAGAUCGGAAGGAACACCAGUGGCGAAGGCGGCCUCCUGGACUGACACUGACGCUGAGGUGCGAAAGCG